rnacentral:pre_miRNA from 1 species
CGGGGGAGGCCGGAUCCUGGGCUGUGUCCCGGGUCCUGUGCUCCGGGGCCUGCGCUGUUGGAUUCGCGCCCCCGGGCCGCGCAACCCCCU